rnacentral:tRNA from 1 species
GGGGAUGUGACAGAAAGGUUAUGUGUCUAGCUUGAAACUAGUUUGAAAAGAGUUCGAUUCUCUUUAUCCCUU